ACAAAUAUUUCAUUUAUUAGUGAUGUGUUAUAGAGUGUGCGUGUGUGGGAAACAAACAAAUAUCUAUUUAUUUGCUUUGCUAAGAAGACAUUUCUUUUUACAAUUUUCAUUUUGUUCAUUGUGCAAGUGGUAAUGAGUGAAGCAUCAACCAUGUUCAUAUUGUUGUUGUUGCUCGUGUUUCGAUCGUCGGUUUGGCGCGAGUGUUUGUUUUUGUUCCUUGUGAAGAAUAUUUACGGUCGGUUUUAGGUUGUUAUUUGAGAAGUGUUGCAACAUUUCAUCUUGUGCCAAAAGAGUGGAAGCAAAUGCAUAGAGAGAAAAAAAAAUAUGUGCACAAAAAAAGUUGAACAAAUCGUAAUUAAAGCAACUGUAAAAAUGUAAUCUAGGUCUUGUUUGCUACGGACAAGUGCUAAAGGUCCGAUAUAUUCAAAACACAUGUGUUGUAAUUUCCCGUCUAUAAAAUUAACAGGCGAAGGACAGUCUACGGAUUCUUUACUACUGCUAUUAAUGGCUUCUGAAUGUUACAUUGCUUCCUCUACGGACGACUGUGAAGUAUUUUUAUGGCGGCAUAUCUCUCGGUACAUAGCGAUAGAAUUCAAAGCCAUCCUUGUACCAUUUCACCGAAUACAAAGAUUCGCCAUCCAAAUCGU